rnacentral:rRNA from 1 species
UACGAAGGGAGCUAGCGUUGUUCGGAAUCACUGGGCGUAAAGCGCACGUAGGCGGAUGUGUCAGUCAGGGGUGAAAGCUCGGAGCUCAACUCCGAAAUGGCAUUGGAAACUACCUUGCUCGAGGGUUGGAGGGGGGACUGGAAUGCUUGGUGUAGCAGUGAAAUGCGUAGAUAUCAAGCGGAACACCAGUGGCGAAGGCGAGUCCCUGGACAACUCCUGACACUGAGGCACGAAAGCUAGGGGAGCAAACAGG